AUGUGGGACCGUCAAGACAUUCCAAGUACAUCUACGGGCGCACCGGACGUCUGCGAAACAUGUGCGACUACGUGGAUUCACAAGUACCCUUCUGAUACGUUAAGUCCGACUACAUGGAUACGACAAGUUCCUCUCCGAACGUGUACGACUACACCCUGUGAUGUGUCGAGUACCUCUACCGACGUCCCCGAACAUCUACGGAAUGUGUACGACUACCGUCGACCCUCGAAGACCCGUGAACGACUACUUCCCACGACGCCGUGUGAACGACUACUUCCACUACCGUCGCGAGAAUGA
rnacentral:rRNA from 1 species